GCUGUGUAACAAGGGAUUCUAGAACUUUAAGGCCCAAACAAAUCACCUGAGAAUCUUACUGAAGUGCAGAUUCUUGUUCUAGAGGUCUGUAGAAGCCCCAUGAUGUUGAGUUUUUACAAAUCCUCUACAAUGCCAGUGCUGCUGACCUUUGGAUGUUGAUUUUGGAAGCAGUGCUGUGGGCAAGAUGACUGAUAGGCUUACCCUGGACAAAAACAAAAAUGACAGGAGCAUUAAAACAUGUCAAGGGCAGGAGCUGACUGGGAAGCCAAAGUCCUGCAAAGCAAAGGGGAAUUCACACACCUGAAAGGACUGGGAGGAGGGGCAGAAAUGCAGAAGCUUGUGGAUUGAGCACAAUUAUUCUCAGAGGGCCUAGUCCAGAAACACUGAUGUUAUGGAUAAGAGGAGGUUAACUGGAUAUUGGGAUUGCCUAUUUACAUUUCUCUGAUCUAUGCUCCAGUGAAAUUAAACAAAAAUUUUUACUAAAACUUAAACUUGCAGAGUGAAGAUUUUUGUCUGUUUGGUUUACUUCUUUGUCACCAGCAAGUAUCUAAACACUUUUUGACUCAUAGUUACCCCCCAAAUAUUUGCUGAAUAAAAAC
rnacentral:lncRNA from 1 species